GCUGGGUGUCCUGAAGCAUGCCUGUAAUCCCAGCAGCUUGGGAGGCUGAGGCAGGAGGAUCACAAGUUCAAAGCCAGACUCAGCAACUUCGCAAGGCCUCAACUUAGUGAGAUCCUGUCUCAA
rnacentral:sRNA from 1 species